CAAGACAAAAAUACAAUCACAAAGUUAUUGUUUGCUAUACAUUUCCUCUCAUAAGUUCUUUCCCAAUAUGCUUUUGGCUUUAAGAUCAUUUUCAAUGUCUGUCAUUCAUCAAAUGGCAUCUUUCAUCUGUCUUAGCAUAGCAGAUUUAUAAAGCCCUGUUUAUGGUCUUUGCUCAAUCUCAGUGAUUGUGCUUUGGAAAAAUUAUGAGCUUGAUGUUGACUUAUCCAAUAAUUCUUAUAUAGUGCUCUCAAAAAUUGUAACAUGUUUGGGAUUUGAAAUGCUAAGCUGCUUGUGCAGAAAAUGUAAUGAAAAAGUUUACUCUUUACUCUCUUGGCAGAAAAAUAAAAUACAAAAAAGAAAAAAAUAUCAGUAUCAACAACAUAUAAGCAUAUUAUUAAC